GAUCAUGGCUCAGGACGAACGCUGGCGGCGUGCCUAACACAUGCAAGUCGAACGAGAUCCAUGGGAGCUUGCUCCCGGAAGAUCUAGUGGCGAACGGGUGAGUAACACGUGAGAAACCUGCCCUGGAGUGGGGAAUAACUCGGGGAAACUCGAGCUAAUACCGCAUACCCUCGGAUGGUCGCAUGGCCGACCGAGGAAAGAUUUAUCGCUCUAGGAGGGUCUCGCGGCCUAUCAGCUAGUUGGUGGGGUAACGGCCUACCAAGGCAACGACGGGUAGCUGGUUUGAGAGAACGAUCAGCCACACUGGGACUGAGACACGGCCCAGACUCCUACGGGAGGCAGCAGUGGGGAAUCUUGCGCAAUGGGCGAAAGCCUGACGCAGCAACGCCGCGUGCGGGAUGACGGCCUUCGUGGUUGUAAACCGCUUUCAGCAGGGACGAAAAUGACGGUACCUGCAGAGGAAGCCCCGGCUAACUACGUG
rnacentral:rRNA from 1 species